rnacentral:lncRNA from 1 species
AUGUACUACAUCUUCUCAAUCCAUUCAUCUGUUGAUGGACAUUUAGGUUGUUUUCAUGUCUUGCCUAUUGUGAAUAGUAUUGCAAUGAACAUAGGGGUGCAUUUAACAUUCACUGAAAAAGAUAAUUUUUCUUCUUUAAUUUGUUUAAGUUACCGAUGGACUGUACUGACUGAUUUUUGAAUGCUGAAUCAGCCUUGCAUAAUUGAAAUAAAUCUCACUUGUCACUGCUGGAUCUUCUUUUCAUAUAAUGUUAGAUUUGAUUUGUUAAAAAAAUUAGGAUAUUUUUAGCUGUAGUUAUGGGAGAUACUGGUUUGUAGUUUUCAUUUCUUGCGUUUUUAUAUCUUCUUUUGGUAUUAGGAAGAUGUUGGCAUUAUCAGAACAAGUAAGGAAAUAGUCUCUCUUGUGCUAUUUUCUCAAAGAGAACAUGGAAUCCUUCCUGAAAUGGUUAGUGGAAUUUGCCAGUGAGACCCUCUGGACCUGUUUGGUUUUGGAAAUUUAUUGAUCAUUGAUUCAGAUCAUAGCUGUAGGAUUGUACAGAUCAUCUUUCUCCUAGUCUGGGUAUUAGUAGCUUGUAUCUUUCAAGGAGUUGGUCCCUUUCAUCUGUUAUAAAAUGUGUGCGCUUGGAGUUGUUCCUGGGAUUUCUGCAUUAGCUUUGUAUUGUCCGUGGGAUCAGUGGCAGUGAUCCCUUUUUCAAAUAUGAUAUUGGUUCUGUCUUUUUUUUAAAACGAUUGUUAUUUUUUCCAUUAUAGUUGGUUUACAUGUAUAUACUAUACUCUCUGUAACACUUCAAUAAGAUCUAGAGCAACGUCUUAGAAUCAAAUGUAUUAAUAUUCAUGGCAUAAAAAUGUAUUAGCAUUAGUAUGAACACUAAUUUGUAUAAAUAAAGGCUAUAUAACCUAUAUAAUAACUGCAUACCUAUCCAGGUAGAUUUUGCUGUGAAAUGAGGUUUGCCUUAAAUUGUGAAAAACUUUACCUUUCUAGAGCUGGUUUUUUUUUUUUUUUUUUUUUGGAACUUUAGAUAAUGGUUUAAAGACCUGUGCAAGCAAAAUAUGUUAAGAUUUCAACAUCUGGCUAGCCCUGGGGGUCAAUUAAAAGAGUUCUUUGAAGUCCUGGCUGUGUUAGAUGGUCUUGUGGUUUGGGGUGUUUAGUCUGAAGGCAGAAGAGUGCACUUUUAGAAGAACAAAAUACAAACUUUGGAGUAAUUAUUGAAAAAGUAAUGAGUAAAAUAUCUUAAUUUGCAUUCUUGACCUUUGUCAUCAGUCAUUACCUUUCAAUAUGUAGUGCUUUGGUUGAAAAGAAUAGCAAUUAACACUAACACUCCCUAGAAAUCUUAAUGUUAAAAAUUGCCUUAUUUUUUUAAGCCUCUCUGGGAAGGGAUCCUUGGUGUUUUCAUCUUUUAUUUCUAGCACAUAAAAGCACCUCCUUCUAAAUAUCCUGUGACUGUAAAGAUACUUUUUCAGUUGAGUCUUUUAAAGUACAAAAUUAAGGAAUCUAUUUAUCUCUCAUAUACAGUGUGCACUAACUAACUGUGCUAAGUGCUGAGGAUAUAGUCUGAUGGGAGAGACGCACACAUAAAUAGAAUAUCACAAUAUUAUGUGAUGAGUGAUGUGAGAGGUUAAGUACAGUGUGCCAUGGAACACCAUGUUCUGGGGUGAGAGAAGGAACAGAGAUAAAGUAAGAAGUUAGGCAAGUGAAAUGAGGAGGGAAAUAAAAAAUAUUCUAACAGUGAUUUUCCAAAUGUGAUUCAUGGACCAGCAGCAUCAGCAUCACCUGGGAAUUUGUCAGAAAUAGAGAUUCUCAGUCCUUACCCCAAACCUACUGAAUUUAAAACUCUGAGAACAGGAGCUGAGCAAUCUAUUUCAAUAAGGUUGAUCAUCUGGAUGAUUCUGAUGCAAACUUAAGUUUGAGAACCAUGGUUCUAAACAGCAAACAUGAAAAAAGAAUCAGAGCAUAUAGGCAGUCUACUAUAAAUAGCAAGAUGUUAGUGUAACUGAAUGGCAUUAGGCCAUAGGAGAGUUUUAAGCAGAAAAAGUAAAAAUCUAACUUUUAUUUUAUUUUAUUUUAUCUUAUCUUUUUAGGGCCACAUCUGCGGCAUAUGGAGGUUCUCAGGCUAGGUAUUGAAUUGGAGCUGUAGCUGCUGGACAAUGCCACAGUCACAGCAAUGCCAGAUUGGAGCCACAUCUGCGACCUACACCACAGCUCACAGCAGCGCCGGAUCCCUAACCCACUGAGCAAGGCCAGGGACUGAACCUGUGUCCUCAUGGGUUCCAGUCAGAUUUGUUUACACUGAGCCAUGACAGGAACUCCCUAACUUAAAUUUUAAAAGAGUUUCUUCACAAGGUAAAAAAUUGACUGAGUAAAGGGAGCAUGAGAUGAUGGAGGUUUGAACUAGGGUGGCAGAGGUGGAGGUAAUGAGAACAGUGUGUCUGGUAGUGUGAAUAAGCUUUGUAGGUAAAACUGAUUGGACUGAUUGAAUGUUCCAAUACGUUGGAUUUGGGAUGUGAGAGAAAGAAAGGAAUCAAGGUUUGGGCCUGAGCAAGAAUGGUAUUACUACUUCUAUGAAAUGAAGAAGGAAGAGCAGUACGGGGCAGAAGAUUAGCAGUUUAGUUUUGGACUUGUUGAGCUGCCUGUAGACAUCCAAAUGGAAAUGUCAGAUAGCCUGUUGGGUAUGUAUACAUGUCUAUAGUUUGCAUAGGAGUGGCCUAGAUAUCCAAAUUUGGAAGACAGUAGCAUGUAAAUGAUAUUUAAAUUCAUGAAAUGGAUAAGAACUCCAAUGAGAUCUGUAUGUAGGUAAGGAAGAGAAGGGGUCUAUGCAAUGAGACCUGGACACUCUGAUUUUAAGAGUUUAGGAAGAUAAUAGACUUCCUAUAUCUUAACUCAAUAGAAAAUGGAGAGAAAGAAUGGCCACUGAGGUAGGAGGAGAACCACAGAUGGGGUGUCUUGGAGAUCUAGUGAAAAAACUUUUAGGAAGAAGAAACCAUUCAAUAAGUCAGUUGCUACUCAUAGGUGGAAUGAGAUAAAAGCUGAGAUGUAUCCUUGAGAUUUGACUGCAUGGAGGUCAUUGGUAAUCCUGAUUAAGUGCAGCUUUGAUGACAUAAUGGGAAAAAGACCAGGUUGGAGUGUGCUCAAGAGAGAAAGGAGAGUUUAGUGGAAAUUAAGUACAGACAAUUCUUUGGAAGAGCUUUGAUCAGGGGGAGGAGGUGCAAAGAGAAGAGGCAGUAGCUCUGUUCUAAGAACAAUGCGGAGCCUAUGAAGAACUCUUGGUGCCUACUAUUUCAAGGACAGUUUAAAAUACUUGAUAUUGCUGUUUUGAUAAUGUGUCUUCAUUAGCUAUUACAUGUCAGAAAGAGUGAUUAUGUUAGCUAAUAUCUUAAUCUUAUAUUUUGAUUCUCUGCUUUAAGUAAGAAGAGAUUUGUUCCAUGCCUUUAUGUGUUAUGCGCGCGCGAGUGUGUGUGUGUGUGUGUGUGUGUGUGUGUGUGUGUGUGUGUGUGUGUGUGCAGUUGAACCUUGAACAACUUGGGUUUGAAAUGAAGGGCCAUUUAUUUAUUUUUAAAUUUUUUUUAAUUUUUUUGCUUUUUAGGACUGUACCUGCAACAUGUGGAGGUUCCCAGGCAAGGGGUCCAAUCGAAGCUGCAGCUGCUGGCCUAUGCCACAGCCACAGCAACAUGGGAUCUGAGCCAAGUCUGCCACCUAUACCACAGCUCAUGGCAUCACCUGAUCCUUAACCCACUGAGCAAGGCCAGGGUUUGAACCUGCAUCCUCAUGGGUACUAGUCGGGUUUGAUACUGCCGACUCACAGGGGGAAUUCCACAGGGGCCAUUUAUACCCUUUUUUUCCCCUUAAAUAUGUUGGAAAUUUUUAUGGAGAUUUGUGAUAAUUUGAAAAUAGCUUGCAGACAAGCCAUAUAGCCUAGAAAUAUUUUUUUAAAAAAGAAGUUAAGUGUAUCAUGAAUGCUUAAAAUACUUGUAGACCUCCAUGGCCAGGGAUCAAACCCGCACCUCCAAAGUGAUCCAAGCCACUGCAGUCAGGUUCUUUAACCUACUGUGCCAUGUCGGGAACUCCUACAAGUCUAUUAUAAGCAGUUAAAAUUUAUCCAAACCUACACAAACACUUAAACCCCAUCUAUGGCACCAUUCCCAGUUGAGGGAAAGGUAAACAAAUGUAAAGAUGCAAGAGUAAAGCAUAACUGCAUAAAAUUAACUGUAGCACAUAGGAUACUGUAGUAAUAAUUUUGUAGUUACCUCCUGUUGCUGUAAGCAGUGAGCACAAGUGUUGGAAGUAUCCAACACUUGAUACUGGAGUCAUCUCUCCAGUAAAUUGCAUAUUGCAUAAAAAGUGAUCUCUUGUGGUUUUCAAGUAUUUUUUAUGUUUAGUGCAAUACCAUAAACCUUGAAUAACAGCAUACAAAGGGCCACUAGUGAUCCUGAAAGUGUUCCCAGAAGCAGAGUCAUGACAUUACAAGAAAAAAAAUUUUUUUCUUUUGGCUUUUUGGCUUUUAGGGCUGCACCUGUGACACAUGGAGGUUCCCAAACUAGGGGUCCAAUUGGAGCUGUAGCUGCUGGCCUACACUACAGGAUCUGAUCUGUGUCUGCAGUCUAUACCACAGCUCACAGCAACGCCAGAUCCUUAAGCCACUGAGCGAGGCCAGGGAUCAAACCCACAUGCUAAUGGAUGCUGGUCGGGUUCGUUAACCGCUGAG